UAAAUGGCGCUCCUCCGCGCCGCAGCCGCAGCCGCCCCGCUCCCUUCCCGCUCCGCCAGCUGCCGCCCUCCCGCGCUCGCUUCUCGCCCCGCGGCCUGGCCCGUGCGCCUCCGAGGCUGGCCAGGGGCACCGAGGCCGCGGGCCCCCCAUCGCCCCCACCCGAGCCCUGAUUUACCGUCCGAGAGCCGGCGGCACAUGGGACCCCGAGAGGAGAAGCGCGCCUGCCCCAGUGCGUCCCCAGGCGGGGGAGCCCCGACUCCUGGAGGGACCGCGUCCUGCCCGGCCCGGGAAGUUCAGGGCUGGAGAACCCCUUCCCCGACCCCAUUUCUCUUUUAACAAGAGUAGGGUUUGUAGCUAACCAACGUCCUGACAGCUCAGCUCUGCUUUCCCUUUAAGCAUUAAUAUCAAAGCCCUGCCUGCUACCGGUGAAGCCCCGACCCGGGAGGGCCCGAAAGUCCCUUCAGGGAGAGGCCGCACUGGGCCUGCUCACCCAGGGGCUGCCCCUGCAGACUCUCCCGAGGGGCCCAGGGAUAUUCCUCGCGCCGCGAGUGGACGCUUCCAUCCACCCCAUGGGGAGGGCCUCUGCGCGUGGCUACUCUGAGCCCUCUGGAAUGCCGAGAUAGUUGCAUAAUUUCAGAAACCACGGCAUGGAGACGGAAUGAUGCAGACUCCUAUCCGCGAGAUACCUGCUGUAAUUUCGCUGUGGUUCGUGAGGACGCGUCCUGGGCUGCCCUGAGAAGCCUACGUCUCCCCUUCGAGGCCCGGGAAGACCUCCAACCCCGCUGACAAUGCUGGGCCCUCAGCCAGACCUGCCCUGCGUGCCACGUUCUGUUCUAAGAUCGGGCUGCCGAGCUGUGGCCUGGAGGAAACCUGGCAGGCAGCCCAGGAGAAGGCAGCACGUGGCCGGGUGCAGGGACGUACCACCCCCACUUCCCCAGGGGAGCUGGGGUCAGACGAGUCCCAGGCACUCCAUCCUCUGCAGCAAGUCAGGUGGGGCUGCCAUGAGCAGCAAGCUCAGUCCAGAAGAACAGUUCCUCUCCAGGAUCCACUUCCUGCGCACUUUUAUGUGCAGUGUAGCUGGAGCAGAGCUCCCCGGAAUUCCACAGGCAACUGAGAACGGAGAGGGAUGCAGGCCAGCCAGGGAUCCAGCGUCUUCCCCAUCGUCACUCUCCAUGGCCUCCGUCUACACACAGUGUUCGUCUGCACAGCUUGUCAGCGCGUUAUCAUGACUUCUAUUUGGCACCGGCCCGUCUGUCCACUGUCCUGGCUUGUUCCAAGCGCUGCCUUCUCCAACUGGGGUCCUGGCUGCAGAGCUGUCUGCUCCCCACGUUGGGCAACUCCAGCCAAGAUUCCUACACCCAAAUGUGACCGUGUUGCUCACGAAGAAGGCUCAGCUUUGCGUGUGCCCAGCCGUGUGCACAGCUCGUCCCAACUCCUGCGGGUGGCACCUGCCUCUCCCACCUCCAGUCUUUCCCCUGUGAUGAGCAGAUGACCACCGCCCUCCAGGGUCAGCGUUUGGCUGUUUGUGUGCCUGCCCACCCGCCUCCCUGUGCCUGGGCCUGCCCUGUGCCUGCACACAGGAGUGGCUCAUGGCGUUUGCCCUACACGGAUGGGCUGUCCUGGGAGCUACUGGACAGUCACCUUGGUGGGAAUGCCAGAGGCAUGGGCAUUAGGUCCCCCCGGCCAGCCUCCGUUGCCACAUGGGCUAUUUUUGUCCAUCGCGUGGGACAACCUAGUAUUGGGGGAAAACUCAGUCCACUCUAAAGAAGCAUCGGCGUUUUGGAUGGACGAAUGCUGCUUCAUGCGACUCCAUGUCAAUGGACUAUUUUAUUCAACUCGGGUAUUUAUGAGUGUCUCCUCUGUGCCAGCCACGUGUGAAAGAAGAACUCCAAGUUACUGGACACCAGGACAAACCAGGUAGAUCACUGCAUCCGGUUCCUCCUCUUUCUGCCGACUCUCCCGGGCAACCGUUCUGAUUCCUGGCAUGGAGUUGGGGGCGAGCUCAUCAGUACCCAGAGCGCCUGGUGUGCAGCCAAAGGCCCCCAUUUUAUUAGUCGGUGUGUUCAGUAUCACGCUCAAGACAAGGGCCAACCUAUUACUUCACACACCUCAAAUACAAAAAGUGCCUGGGAACGUCGAUGAGGUAUUAAAGGAAACCACUGGUCUUGUCAGUCAUGUACACACAGAAAAAAAAACCAGUCAUUUUUAUUUUUAUUUUUUGAGACAGAGUUUCGCUCUUGUUGCCCAGGCUGGAGUGCAAUGGUGCAAUUUCAGCUCACUGCAAUCUCUGCCACCCGGAUUCAAGCAAUUCUCCUGUCUCAGCCUCCCGAGUAGCUGGAAUUGCAGACACCCAUCACCACGCCCAGCUAAUUUUAUGUAUUUUUAGUAGAGAUGGGGUUUCACCAUGUUGGUCAGGCUGGUCUUGAACUCCUGACCUCAGGUGAUCCACCCACGUCAGGCUCCCAAAGUGCUGAGAUUACAGGCAUGAACCACUGUGCCCAGCCGAAAACAACCAAGAAUUUUUUAACAAUAAAAUGACCAGCAAGUAAACUUGAAACAAAAAUGGACAAAUAUCUAAAAUAUUUUUAAAUGUAUGUAUUUUAAUUGGCAAAUAAUACUUGUAUAUAUUGUUUACAACUUGUUUUAAAGUAUGAAUACAUUGUGGAAUGGCU
rnacentral:lncRNA from 1 species